rnacentral:rRNA from 1 species
UACGUAGGGGGCUAGCGUUGUCCGGAAUCAUUGGGCGUAAAGCGCGUGUAGGCGGUCCGGCAAGUCCGCUGUGAAAGUCGAGGGCUCAACCCUCGAAUGCCGGUGGAUACUGUCGGGCUUGAGUACGGGAGAGGCGAGUGGAAUUCCUGGUGUAGCGGUGAAAUGCGCAGAUAUCAGGAGGAACACCGAUUGCGAAGGCAGCUCGCUGGAACGUUACUGACGCUGAGACGCGAAAGCGUGGGGAGCAAACAGG